CUAGUCUCUCAUAGAAACUUCUGGCCUCUGGACACUGUGGGAGCAACUUUUCCUUUAUUAGACUGUCUCCUCUUUAACUGGAAUAUUGCAGCAUGACUGGGAAGCCUGUCCUUCAUUACUUCAAUUGAAGAAGAAGAAUGGAGUCCAUCCGGUGGCUCCUGGCAGCAGCUGGAGUAGAGUUUGAGGAAGAACUUUUUGAAACCCAUGAAGAGUUUGAGAAGUUAAUCCAAGGUGGAACCCUGAUGAUUGAUAUGUAUGUAGAGGGCUUAAGAGACCUGAGCGACAUGAUAAUGUACUUUCCACUCUCUCUGCCAGAAGAGAAGGAGAUGAACCUUGAAUACAUCCUCCACCGAGCUACAACAAGAUUCUUCCCCGUUUAUGAGAAGGCCCUGAGAGACCACGGGCAAGACUUUCUUGUGGGCAAUCGGCUGAGCUUGGCUGAUGUCCAGCUCCUUGAAGUCAUCUUAAUGGCUGAAGAAUGCAAAGCCAGUGUUCUCUCGGGUUUCCCUCUGCUACAGGACUUCAAGGUGAGAACCAGCCAAAUUCCUACAAUUAACAGCUUCCUCCAACCUGGAAGCCAGAGGAAGCCUCCUUUGGAGGAGCGAUCCAUUGGGACUGCAAAGGACAUAUUCAAAUUUGAAUGAGGACUGUUUCUUAAAAACAUGAGCAAUAUAGUAGCUGAGUAUUAACAGCUACAGAGGCUGGAGUUACUCAGUAAGUAUACUGAGUAACUUGACACUGCAUUCAUAAAAAGACACUCACUAAGUAUAUGGCCAGAGAAAUAUCCUGAAGUUAGUAAUAAAUGUUAGGAAUCUUAGUAUGUUAGCAAUGUUAGAAUGUUAGUAAUGGAAAUAUUAAAUGUGUAAGAGAAAAACUACUAGAAGCUUAUCAAUAAACUACAAGAACCAACUCUUGUUUGAAGUAAGACAGGCUACCAAGACAGAAUUCAGAAAAUCCAAGGAGCCCUCGGCCUUCUGUAUGAUCCUAGAAUAAACUUGUAUGUAGCAAGUGAAA
rnacentral:lncRNA from 1 species